UACGUAGGGUGCGAGCGUUGUCCGGAAUUAUUGGGCGUAAAGAGCUCGUAGGCGGUGUGUCACGUCGGCCGUGAAAACCUGCAGCUUAACUGUGGGCGUGCGGUCGAUACGGGCAUCACUGGAGUUCGGCAGGGGAGACUGGAAUUCCUGGUGUAGCGGUGAAAUGCGCAGAUAUCAGGAGGAACACCGGUGGCGAAGGCGGGUCUCUGGGCCGAUACUGACGCCGAGGAGCGAAAGCGUGGGGAGCGAACCGG
rnacentral:rRNA from 1 species